GAUGAACGCUAGCGGCAGGCCUAAUACAUGCAAGUCGUACGGCAACACAGUUGCGAGCAAUCGCAACCGGUGGCGAGUGGCGCACGGGUGAGUAACGCGUAUGUAACCUACCCUUCUCCGGGACAUAACUCCGCGAAAGCGGUGCUAAUAUCCCAUACCAACUCAUCAAGACAUCUUCUUGAGUUGAAAGCAGCAAUGCGGUGAAGGAUGGGCAUGCGUCCCAUUAGCUGGUUGGUGAGGUAAUGGCCCACCAAGGCUACGAUGGGUAGGGGUUCUGAGAGGAAAGCCCCCCACACUGGUACUGAGACACGGACCAGACUCCUACGGGAGGCAGCAGUAAGGAAUAUUGGGCAAUGGUCGAAAGACUGACCCAGCCAUGCCGCGUGCAGGAUGAAGCCCUAUGGGUUGUAAACUGCUUUUAGCCGGGAAUAAACACCCGUUUUAAACGGGCCCGAAGGUACCGGCUGAAUAAGCAUCGGCUAACUCCGUGCCAGCAGCCG
rnacentral:rRNA from 1 species